rnacentral:rRNA from 1 species
AUAUUGCACAAUGGGCGCAAGCCUGAUGCAGCAACGCCGCGUGAGGGAUGACGGCCUUCGGGUUGUAAAGCACUUUUGGCAGGGAAGAAAAGGCUCUGGCUAAUACCUGGAGCUGCUGACGGUACCUCCAGAAUAAGCACCGGCCAACUACGUGCCAGCAGCAGCGGUAAUACGUAGGGUGCAAGCGUUAAUCGGAAUUACUGGUCGGAAAGCGGGCGCAGGCGGUUCGGCAAGAAGGAUGAGAAAUCCCAGGGCUUAACCUUGGAACUGCAUUCUUAACUGCCGGGCUAGAGUAUGUCAGAGGGGGGUAGAAUUCCGCGUGGAGCAGUGAAAUGCGUAGAGAUGCGGAGGAAUACCGAUGGCGAAGGCAGCCCCCUGGGAUAAUACUGACGCUCAUGCACGAAGGCGUGGGGAGCAAACA